UACGUAGGGGGCUAGCGUUGUCCGGAAUCAUUGGGCGUAAAGCGCGUGUAGGCGGUCCGGUAAGUCCGCUGUGAAAGUCGGGGGCUCAACCCUCGAAUGCCGGUGGAUACUGUCGGGCUAGAGUGCGGAAGAGGCGAGUGGAAUUCCUGGUGUAGCGGUGAAAUGCGCAGAUAUCAGGAGGAACACCAAUUGCGAAGGCAGCUCGCUGGGACGUAACUGACGCUGAGACGCGAAGGCGUGGGGAGCAAACAGG
rnacentral:rRNA from 1 species